rnacentral:rRNA from 1 species
CAGGCCUAACACAUGCAAGUCGAACGAGACCUUCGGGUCUAGUGGCGCACGGGUGCGUAACGCGUGGGAAUCUGCCCUUGGGUUCGGAAUAACUGGAAGAAAUUCCAGCUAAUACCGGAUGAUGACGUAAGUCCAAAGAUUUAUCGCCCAAGGAUGAGCCCGCGUAGGAUUAGCUUGUUGGUGAGGUAAAAGCUCACCAAGGCGACGAUCCUUAGCUGGUCUGAGAGGAUGAUCAGCCACACUGGGACUGAGACACGGCCCAGACUCCUACGGGAGCCAGCAGUGGGGAAUAUUGGACAAUGGGCGAAAGCCUGAUCCAGCAAUGCCGCGUGAGUGAUGAAGGCCUUAGGGUUGUAAAGCUCUUUUACCCGGGAUGAUAAUGACAGUACCGGGAGAAUAAGCCCCGGCUAACUCCGUGCCAGCAGCCGCGGUAAU